CCUACGGGUGGCAGCAGUGGGGAAUAUUGCUCAAUGGGGGAAACCCUGAUGCAGCGACGCCGCGUGAGCGAAGAAGGAUCUCGGUAUGUAAAGCUCUAUUAGUAGGGAAGAAAAUGACGGUAUCUGACUAAUAAGCACCGGCUAACUACGUGCCAGCAGCCGCGGUACUACGUAGGGGGCAAGCGUUAUCCGGAUUUACUGGGGGUAAAGGGAGCGCAGGCGGGAUGGUAAGGCAGAUGUGAAAGCCCGGGGCUCAACCCCGGGACUGCAGUGGAAACUGUCGUGCUGGAGUGUCGGAGAGGUAGGUGGAAUUCUUGGUGUAGCGGUGAAAUGCGUAGAGAUCAGGAGGAACACCGAUGGCGAAGGCGGCUUGCUGGACGACAACUGACGCUGAGGCUCGAAAGCGUGGGGAGCAAACAGGAUUAGAUACCCGUGUAGUC
rnacentral:rRNA from 1 species